GCUGGUUCGGUCGAACCAGACUGUUUUUUACGUUUUUCGAAGUUAACAAGCAUUAUUGGACAAAUAACACAACGUUCUCGUGGAAGUGGAUUUCCGAAGAACAAAAUUUCAUGACGGUAUUACGAUUUCCAAAAUUUGUGUUUGAUGUCUGCUCAUAAGAAUGUCCACAAGAUAUCAACUUUGAUGAAUAUGAUCAUUGUUGUAAGCAAAAAGGGAGUCUAGGUGAAGCUAUAUAAUCAGAUAGAGAUAGGCUGAGUUCACUACCUUGGAUUAACUAAAACCAACUCCCUUUGCACUAGUCUUUCCUUUAGUCCGCAAUCAAGCAAUACUUCAAGAAGUGAUUGUUGAGCAGUUUGCCCACCGCUUUUCGUGCAGAAAAUAUACAUCGACGUGUUUUGUACUCACUCUCCAUGCACAACCUAAUCACAGCCGAUGCCACGUGUGCUCUUCCUCUUCCUAUGUCCUUUUCCAGGGCGGCGGAAGUGUCUGCUGCGGAUGGACAGUUAACAGCUUCGGCUGACGAAAGACACCUCACUAGCAACAUGCCGCCACCUCUAGCAGACUUCUCAUACUGUGUGAGACACACUGAACCUUAGUGUGGUGACAAUGCCAAUGAAUAUGCAUACAAUAUGGAAGACAAGUUUGGCGGUACAGGUGGUGACGAAAUAUUUUUGUGCAUUUGUGGUGCAUGGGGAAUACAAAAGGCGUCGAUUUACACGUUGAGCACGCAAAACAGUGAUAGCA